AUUGAACGCUGGCGGCAUGCCUUACACAUGCAAGUCGAACGGUAACAGGUCUUCGGAUGCUGACGAGUGGCGAACGGGUGAGUAAUACAUCGGAACGUGCCUAGUAGUGGGGGAUAACUACUCGAAAGAGUGGCUAAUACCGCAUGAGAUCUACGGACGAAAGCAGGGGAUCGCAAGACCUUGUGCUACUAGAGCGGCCGAUGGCAGAUUAGGUAGUUGGUGGGAUAAAAGCUUACCAAGCCGACGAUCUGUAGCUGGUCUGAGAGGACGAUCAGCCACACUGGGACUGAGACACGGCCCAGACUCCUACGGGAGGCAGCAGUGGGGAAUUUUGGACAAUGGGCGCAAGCCUGAUCCAGCAAUGCCGCGUGCAGGAUGAAGGCCUUCGGGUUGUAAACUGCUUUUGUACGGAACGAAAAGCCCCGGGUUAAUACCCUGGGGUCAUGACGGUACCGUAAGAAUAAGCACCGGCUAACUACGUGCCAGCCGCGGUAACAC
rnacentral:rRNA from 1 species